rnacentral:lncRNA from 1 species
UUCUGUGGCCGCACAAAAAAGUUGGUGAAAAAUACAAGAGGUCGGUAGUUUCAGACAUACCAGUCAAAAUCGUUGAAAUAUAUUCAAAAUAGUACAUACAUAUCCCUGAUAUCUAGAAGGGGAAUUCCAUGAUACUUCAACUUAGGAGAGCUAGGUAGCCAGAGGUAUGCUUAUGUAAUUUUGCCAAAAAGAGAGAGAUAGGAAGGUGAAAUUCAGAUUGUUCACUUACACAGCAGCGCCAUGCUCUAACAGAAGUGCGACGCAAUCCUUCCGCCCAUAACCUGCAGCAUAAUGCAGUGCUGUGUUCUUGUUCUUGUC